rnacentral:rRNA from 1 species
UACGUAGGGAGCAAGCGUUGUCCGGAAUCAUUGGCGUAAAGCGCGCGUAGGCGGCCUCGUAAGUCCGUUGUGAAAGUCAAAGGCUCAACCUUUGAAAGCCGAUGGAUACUGCGAGGCUAGAGUCCGGAAGAGGCGAGUGGAAUUCCUGGUGUAGCGGUGGAAUGCGCAGAUAUCAGGAGGAACACCAUAGCGAAGGCAGCUCGCUGGGACGGUACUGACGCUAAGGCGCGAAAGCGUGGGAG